rnacentral:tRNA from 1 species
GCCGGAGUAGCUCAGCUGGUAGAGCAGCCGCCUUGUAAGCGGCAGGCCAGGGGUUCGAGUCCCCUCUCCGGCU